GACGAACGCUGGCGGCGUGCUUAACACAUGCAAGUCGAACGGAAAGGCCCUGCACUUGUGGGGUGCUCGAGUGGCGAACGGGUGAGUAACACGCGAGUAACCUGCCCUUGACUUUGGGAUAACUUCAGGAAACUGGGGCUAAUACCGGAUAGGAGCUCCUGAUGCAUGGUGGGGGUGGGAAAGUUUCGGCGUUUGGGGAUGGACGCGCGGCUUAUCAGCUUGUUGGUGAGGUAGUGGGUUAACAAGGCUUUGACGGGUAGCCGGAUUGCGAGUGUGACCGGCCACAUUGGGACUGGGGAACGGCCCAGACUGCUACGGGAGGCAGCAGUGGGAAAUAUUGCACAAUGGGCGGAAGCCGGAUGCAGCAACGCCGCGUGCGGGAUGACGGCCUUCGGGUUGGAAACCGCUUGCGCCUGUGACGAAGCGUGAGUGACGGUAAUGGGUAAAGAAGCACCGGCUAACUACGUG
rnacentral:rRNA from 1 species